UUAAUGGAAAGGAAGAACUAAAGAAACUAUACUCAAGAAGACACCUUCUAGUGGAAGAAAACAAAAGAUCCUCAUCAAUGCUAGCCAUGUUUAUAGCAAAGUGUUCACUCAAAGGCUCAAACUCUUUCUUUCUUUCACUUAAUCAUCUUGCAAAGUCUCAGGAAUAUGCUUCACUACCACCUCGUCCAAACACUUUGAGGUAAAAAAUUAUGCAUAUAUAUGAAGAAAAAGACCCGAAAAGCAAUGAAGAUGUCACGGAAGGAGCAAAGGUGAAAAUAGAAGUAGUCACUAAUAGAAUGCGGAGACUGCCUGAAACAACGAAGAGAAGGCCAAAGAAGGAAUGGAGAGGAAAUUUUAGAAACUGCAUACGAACUGAAAGACAAUACAGAAGAAAAAAAACAAAUGGUGUGAAGAAGAUAAAACAAUUCCAAAGGAUUGUGGAAGUGAAACGCAUACGAGGCUUUUGGGGUUUAAUAGCUUUUAUGCAAUUGAUCAGGACUGGAUAAACAUAAAAUUAUACAUAACCGAGUAUGAUACGCUAGUAAUACUGGGUUGUUUGUGAUCGCAUCAAUAGCUCAAUUAACAUUUGCUACACAUAUCAUAUUUGAUCAUAUUAUAUUUGCUUUUGAGCAGGUGAAAGGUACUAUCUAUGGCUUAGAGGAUUAUACAACGGAGGCAACAACUAUUGAUCCUCUAGAGACUGUGUGUUUUCUGAGAAAGGUUUCAUUGUACUGUCAAUGGUAUCUUAUGAUCAUCUUAGUUAUGGCAUCUCGUUACACAAUGCUUAAGAAUAAAAUUCACACAAGAUUACUUUGCCGAACUCUAUUCCAGGUAAUGGCAUCAGUUUACAGGCUUCAACAUCUACCUUACAUCAUGUAUUACAAAAAUUGAUAUGAUUCUUCCUUUCUAUGCCUUGUGUUUGUAUUUGCUUUAUUAUCCUCAGAUAAUCAUGCAAUUACGAUGACCCACUCUUUUAUCUUCA